UCUUGGUCAUUUAGAGGAAGUAAAAGUCGUAACAAGGUCUCCGUUGGUGAACCAGCGGAGGGAUCAUUAUAGAGUUUUCUAAACUCCCAACCCUUUGUGAACUUACCUUUGUUGCCUCGGCGGGGCCUACCCGGUACCGACCCCUUUUGGGCGAAGUUACCCUGUAGCCCGCCGGUGGAUUUUCAAACUCUUGUUAUUUUAAUGAUAUCUGAGCGUCUUAUUUUAAUAAGUCAAAACUUUCAACAACGGAUCUCUUGGUUCUGGCAUCGAUGAAGAACGCAGCGAAAUGCGAUAAGUAAUGUGAAUUGCAGAAUUCAGUGAAUCAUCGAAUCUUUGAACGCACAUUGCGCCCAUUAGUAUUCUAGUGGGCAUGCCUGUUCGAGCGUCAUUUCAACCCUUAAGCCUAGCUUAGUGUUGGGAGUCUACUGGUGGUAAUUCGUUACCUUGUAGUUCCUAAAAUGAAACGGCGGAUCUGCAGUAUCCUCUGAGCGUAGUAAAUUUUUAUCUCGCUUUUGUUUAGGUGCUGUGGCUCUUGCCGCUAAACCCCCAAUUUUUAAUGGAGACCU
rnacentral:rRNA from 1 species